rnacentral:rRNA from 1 species
GCGGCGGACGGGUGAGUAACGCGUGGGAAUCUGCCCAUUAGUGGGGGACAACUCGGGGAAACCCGAGCUAAUACCGCAUACGCCCUACGGGGGAAAGCAGGGGAUCUUCGGACCUUGCGCUAUUGGAUGAGCCCGCGUCGGAUUAGCUUGUUGGUGGGGUAAAGGCCUACCAAGGCGACGAUCUGUAGCGGGUCUGAGAGGAUGAUCCGCCACACUGGGACUGAGACACGGCCCAGACUCCUACGGGAGGCAGCAGUGGGGAAUAUUGGACAAUGGGGGGAACCCUGAUCCAGCCAUGCCGCGUGUGUGAAGAAGGCCUUAUGGUUGUAAAGCACUUUAAGCGAGGAGGAGGCUCUUUUGGUUAAUACCCAAGAUGAGUGGACGUUACUCGCAGAAUAAGCACCGGCUAACUCUGUGCCAGCGGCCGCGGUAAUACAGAGGGUGCGAGCGUUAAUCGGAUUUACUGGGCGUAAAGCGUGCGUAGGC